UUUUAACUCCAGAUACUGGUGAAGUAUCCCAGGGAUGUCCAGCCCUGCUCUAACAGAACAUCUCUCCAGCCGCCUGGCUGCACAGAACCGCCGCCUGUCAGUCAGUGCAGGAGCUCACACGGCCGCUGUCCAGUAACACGCCGGACACCGGCGCUUUGUUGCUUCCGCCGGCGCUGUGCUCACAGAUCUUUUUGUCAACUGACACGAAGAGAGAUGCUCUCUGCGCUCAUAUGGGGUCUCGAAGUCACGCCAGGCACUGGACCCGCCCCCUCAGGCUCCGCCCCCCGCUUGCAGCUGAUUGGUCGAAUCAGGAGCGAGACAGGCGAGCCCAGCGAGCUCGAGCCCGGCUCGAGUCUCCCCUCUCCUCAGCCGUCAGCGAGAGGUGGCGCGCGACGCAGGUGCGUACAGUGCGACUCUUGAAUUUAGUUUAAAUUUACUAACAUUACUACAACUGU
rnacentral:lncRNA from 1 species